rnacentral:rRNA from 1 species
GACGAACGCUGGCGGCGUGGAUUAGGCAUGCAAGUCGGACGGUAGGGCUUUAUCGUAAGAUAGAGUUUGAGAGUGGCGAACGGGUGAGUAACACGUAGGAAUCUACCCUUAAGACGGGGACAACCCAGGGAAACUUGGGCUAAUACCGGAUGAGAGUGCGAGAGAUUGCAUUUAAAAGGAUGGCGAAAGUUGUCGCUUAGGGAUGAGCCUGCGGUCUAUUAGUUAGUUGGUGAGGUAAGAGCUCACCAAGGCGAUGAUAGAUAGGCGGCCUUAACGGGUGUCGCCCACACUGGGAUUGAGAUACGGCCCAGACUCCUACGGGAGGCAGCAGUCGAGAAUAGUCUACAAUGGUCGGAAGACUGAUAGUGCGACGCCGCGUGAACGAUGAAUCCCUUCGGGGUGUAAAGUUCUUUUAUAUGUGAGCAGUGCUUCUUAUAUUAACAGUAUGGGGAAGAGAUAUUAGCAUAUGAAUAAGCAACGGCUAACUCCGUGCC